GGCGACCGGGUGAGUAACACGUGACUAACCUACCUCCAAGUGGGGAAUAACUCCGGGAAACCGGGGCUAAUACCGCAUAACAUCGCAAGAUCAAAGCAGCAGUGCGCUGGGAGAGGGGGCCGCGGCUGAUUAGCUAGUUGGCGGGGUAACGGCCCACCAAGGCGAAGAUCGGUAUCCGGCCUGAGAGGGCGCACGGACACACUGGAACUGAAACACGGUCCAGACUCCUACGGGAGGCAGCAGUGGGGAAUUUUGCGCAAUGGGGGAAACCCUGACGCAGCAACGCCGCGUGGAGGAUGAAGCCCUUUGGGGCGUAAACUCCUUUCGACCAAGACGAUGAUGACGGUACUGGUGGAAGAAGCACCGGCUAACUCUGUGCCAGCCGCCGCGG
rnacentral:rRNA from 1 species